rfam:Nitrospira sp. ST-bin4 12019, whole genome shotgun sequence.
UUUCAUUUAGGAAAGGGCGUUUUGGAGAAACGACGCGGGUGACGGGGAAGAUGGUGCAAGUCCAUCACGGUGCCGCCACUGUAAGCGGGGAGUAACUCUGCAUCACGCCACUGUCUUGAAGGCAGUGAGGAGUGACCGGUGAAGGGUGAGGAGUCGGAACCAAUGGAGUUCCGGUACGUCACUCAUCACCUCUCACUGUUCACUUCCGGAGAUGGGAAGGCGCAGAGACACGACGAUCCGCAAGUCAGGAGACCCAGCCGGCAGUCGAUUCAACUC